ACGGGCCGCAACAGCAAUAUCUGC
rnacentral:siRNA from 1 species